rnacentral:rRNA from 1 species
CCUACGGGAGGCAGCAGUGGGGAAUAUUGCACAAUGGGGGGAACCCUGAUGCAGCGACGCCGCGUGGGUGAAGGAGUAUUUCGGUAUGUAAAGCCCUAUCAGCAGGGAAGAACAAUGACGGUACCUGACUAAGAAGCACCGGCUAAAUACGUGCCAGCAGCCGCGGUAAUACGUAUGGUGCAAGCGUUAUCCGGAUUUACUGGGGGUAAAGGGAGCGCAGGCGGCGCGUUAAGCCUGGUGUGAAAGUCCGCGGCCCAACCGCGGGACUGCAUUGGGAACUGGCGCGCUGGAGUGCCGGAGGGGUAGGCGGAAUUCCUAGUGUAGCGGUGAAAUGCGUAGAUAUUAGGAGGAACACCAGUGGCGAAGGCGGCCUACUGGACGGUGACUGACGCUGAGGAUCGAAAGCGUGGGGAGCAAACAGGAUUAGAUACCCGAGUAGUC